rnacentral:rRNA from 1 species
UGGGGAAUAUUGCACAAUGGGCGCAAGCCUGAUGCAGCCAUGCCGCGUGUGUGAAGAAGGCCUUCGGGUUGUAAAGCACUUUCAGCGAGGAGGAAGGUGGUGAGCUUAAUACGCUCAUCAAUUGACGUUACUCGCAGAAGAAGCACCGGCUAACUCCGUGCCAGCAGCCGCGGUAAUACGGAGGGUGCAAGCGUUAAUCGGAAUUACUGGGCGUAAAGCGCACGCAGGCGGUUUGUUAAGUCAGAUGUGGAAUCCCCGGGCUCAACCUGGGAACUGCAUUUGAAAACUGGCAAGCUAGAGUCUCGUAGAGGGGGGUAGAAUUCCAGGUGUAGCGGUGAAAUGCGUAGAGAUCUGGAGGAAUACCGGUGGCGAAGGCGGCCCCCUGGACGAAGACUGACGCUCAGGUGCGAAAAGCGUGGGGAGCAAAACAGGAUUAGAUACCCUGGUAGUCCACGCUGUAAAACGAUGUCGAUUUUGGAGGUUGUGCCCUUGAGGCGUGGCUUCCGGAGCUAACGCGUUAAAUCGACCGCCUGGGGAGUACGGCCGCAAGGUUAAAAACUCAAAUGAAUUGACGGGGUCAUAGCUGUUUCCU